rnacentral:lncRNA from 1 species
ACCAACUCAAUGGAUAUGAGUUUGAGUAAACUCUGGGAGUUGGCGAUGGAUAGGGAGGCCUGACGUGCUGCUAUCCAUGGGGUUGCAAAGAGUUAGACACGGCUGAGUAACUGAACUGAACUUAAUCCUUGAGCCUCAAUUUCCUCAGGUUUCAAAUGGGCAUCACAACAAAACCAACUUCAUAGAGUUGGAGAUAACCUUCCACCCAGAACCUGAUCAUCACAUGUGAGAUAACACAUCCAAAGUUACUAACUCAGAAACUCGAACCAAGUUGUGUCUAGUUCAGUCUAUAAUUGAUCUAAAGUGCUGGAAAAAUGCCUCACCAGUUCAAAAGGUACUGGUUAUUUCUUAAAAGAACCUCACUGGCACUAAAAGCAGGAAGAAUCAAUUCAACAAAGAAGAGAAACUCACAAACACUCUUUAAAUCAAUUCAACAAAGAAGAGAAACUCACAAACACUCUUUAUACUUUUCCAAAAGAUUCUUCUAAGAAAGUCAGUUUCUGUAAUACUAUGCGUUAACAUGGGUAGUUUACCCUGAAUUUGCAAAACUCACCAUGUUUUUUGAGUUAAUAAAUUUCACAAAAUGUUUAUUAAAAAUGUUUUCUUUUUUAUAAAUAUUUUCAUGGAAACUUACUCAAACCUUUGAAAUAACAGAGAAUAUCACAAAAAUGUUUAACAGAGACCAAUAGUAUUUUAAACAUAUUUCCUGAAAGAAACAAUAUCCCUUAGAAAAGAUAUAGGGUACUUACCUAUCUAGAUUUUAACAAAAUAUUCUUUAUAGAAAUGGGUUAUAAUCUUUACCACAGAAACACCAAAUCUGCACCUAAUCAGGAGAGAGAAUUAAAUAAACCAGCUCUCAUUCACUUUCUCCAUCGGAAGACAUCCAUUU